ACUCCUACGGGAGGCAGCAGUGGGGGAAUAUUGCACAAUGGGCGCAAGCCUGAUGCAGCCAUGCCGCGUGUGUGAAGAAGGCCUUCGGGUUGUAAAGACACUUUCAGCGAGGAGGAAAGGGUGGUAGGUUAAUACCUGCAUCUGUGACGUUACUCGCAGAAGAAGCACCGGCUAACUCCGUGCCAGCAGCCGCGGUAAUACGGAGGGGUGCGAGCGUUAAUCGGAAUUACUGGGGCGUAAAGCGCGCGUAGGCGGCUAAGUCAGUCAGAUGUGAAAGCCCCGGGCUCAACCUGGGAACUGCACCUGAUACUGCUUAGCUAGAGUUUGGUAGAGGGGUGUGGAAUUUCCUGUGUAGCGGUGGAAUGCGUAGAUAUAGGAAGAAACACCAGUGGCGAAGGCGACACCCUGGACCAAAACUGACGCUGA
rnacentral:rRNA from 1 species